UACGUAGGGGGGCAAGCGUUUGUCCGGAUUUAUUGGGCGUAAAGAGCGUGUAGGCGGUUUGGUAGGUCCGCUGUGAAAACUCGAGGCUCAACCUCGAGACGCCGGUGGAAACCAUCAGGCUAGAGUCCGGAAGAGGAGAGUGGAAUUCCUGGUGUAGCGGUGAAAUGCGCAGAUAUCAGGAAGAACACCCGUGGCUAAGGCGGCUCUCUAGUACGGUACUGACGCUGAGACGCGAAAAGCGUGGGGAGCGAACAGG
rnacentral:rRNA from 1 species